ACUUUACUCUCUCUUGCUUUUCUUUUGUUUUAUUUUAUUAAUUUUCUUCCCAAAAUAUCUUUUAAGUUUAUGAUAUUUGUCUAAUUAUUAAUGGGGGUGCAUUGAAUAAGUUUAUAAUUGAUGGGGUUUACUUUAAAUUGUUUAUAUAUUGGCGCAUUAGUUGUUUUAUUACUGGAUUAAUUGGUGCAAUUGUUAGGUUGAUCAAAAUAAUGGGUUUGAACUUUGAAUAUGUUUAGGGAUUAGGGCUUGCAUUUUUCUCAUUAUUUGGUUUUUAAUAUUGGUAAUUAGUUGUGUUGUUCAGUUGAUUUGUUUAUUUGAUCAUUGAGUGGUUUGCUUCAAUUGUGUGAAGUUUGUGUUAAUGGUUAAUUGUUGACAUAAUGGUUUUGAACUUUGAUUAUGUUUAGGAAUUAGGGCUUGCAUUUUUGUCAUCAUUUGGUUUUGAUUAUUGGUAAUUAGCUGUGUUGUUCAGCUGAUUUUGUUAUUUGGUCAUGGAGUUGAUUUAUUCCAUUGUCGGAUGAAUAUGUUUAUGGUUAAUUGUUGAUAUAAUUGAUUGAUGUCCAAUUUUAUGUUUGAGUCGAUUGAUCAUUAUCGAAGUUAUGUACAAGUAUAUAUUAUCCGAUUUUUUAGUGUAACUGAAGAUAGGGAGAGCUAUAAACACUUUCUUGAUUAUUCAAACAUUGGAUAUUUGGAUGAUAACUUAUCAACUCUUCGUUGAAUUUUCAAGGCCCCAUUUUUUAUAAUUAGACGGCCGUGUGUGCAAGAGUAGUUGACCUAUAAUUAUUUGAACACAAGGUUAUGAAUCACAGACAACAUUAUUGAAGUUGCAGCCCUUGCAGGUCUAUCAAGUUACAAUUUUAUAUUCAACAAAUGGGUUCUUCAUUAAAAGGCCCAUAAUUUUUUUAUUUCGCAAAGCAUUCAAGUGUUUGCAGAGGAAAAUCAUUGUUAAUAGUAUCAAAGAUUGUUGUAAAAGCAGAGUUGUACCCAAAUGCGUUAUGAUGAUAUUUUGAGGGUUUGGUAGUGUGAUAUGAAAGGGUUAGUAUUAAAGGUUGUGGUGUCACAUUUGAUCAGUCGCACUAGGGUUUUUAAUCAAAAGUUGUGUACUCAGAUAGCUAGAGUAACAAGCACAUCUGCUUGAUGAAUCAGAAGAGGAACAUGCUAAUUUACCUGUGAAAUGAGAUGAUGCUAUUGCCUUGGUCUGGGUCUCGGGAACAGGACUGAAAGUGGAGCCAAAUGUAGAGUUUUGCUAGGAAUGCCAAGAGUUAAUUGGUUUGAUUUGAAUGUUUAUGAGCUAAGAUACUGAUAUUUUAUGACUAUCUGUGGGUGGGAAGUGUUUGGGGGUCAUUACACAGACUGUAAUUGAAGAUUUUCUGUUUUCUUUUUAGGAACAACUUUUGUUGUAAGGAUGUGCACAUUCUAUGACCCAUACCUUAUAUAGGAGAUACACUUGGUAAUCAUUGUUUUUUAUUUGUGAAGUGUCUGUAGUUUCUUUGCUGGGAUUUGAGCAAUAAUUGGGAAUUCUUUUUAUCUUAUAAGAAAAUAGAGUGUGAGUGUUGCUGUAAAAAAGGUUGACUAUGAGGUUUUGUUGACUAUUUUACCUUAUAUAGCUUUUGUUGACUAUUUGACUUCAGAAGCUAGAGCACUACAUGAGUGCUGUUGAUUCUUCCGAUCUUUGCUGGAUGAAACAAAAGGUGUUCGACUCUUCGUUAUACAUUGGUGUAGUUUCGUAAAGUUUUUGGGGUUAGACUAGAGAACUUGUUCCCAUUAUUUUUUGGAUAACUCCCCGAAAUCUAACUAGCCCGUGUAGAAUUCAUUAGGUUAUAACUCAUGGCAAUACUCCUUGACUCCAAAUUUUCCCAUGUCUAUCCUAGAAAAAGCAAUUUUUGCUGAAAUAUCUCUUGACCGACUUUUGAUUAUAUAUAAGCCUUUCUCAAGUACCUUAUAUCAAAGAUCUUGAUCAUUUGUGAGAUUUUGCCUUCAUUCUUAGAUCAUUAUAUAAAUCCAGGUUGGGAUUAGGGAAGAUGAUAUUAAGGCAAUUGGAGCACAUAAUGUUGUCACAAACUUUUACUGCCAUUACCAGGAGUUCCACUCUUCAGAGCAUGAGGUGUUCCUCCAUCACCCCGCUCUUCACAUCAUUAAGAAGGCUUCGAACUUUCUCCACCAUGAUUACUAGAUCCUGCAAGAAGGCGGGUUUUAGGUUUCAGGCGAAGUUUAUAUUGGUUGUUUUUUUUAUGUUUUAUACUUUUAUUUACUCAUUUAGACAGAUACAUGAUUGAUUCUUCCCUGGGUGUCCAAACAUGCAUUGUAAUUAUGGAAUCAAUUGACUGCUCAGUUCUUAGUUCUUACAUGUCAUGCAUAUAAAGGAAAACUUUUACUUGUACAAAGGCUCAAUUAGAGAGAUUAGUUAAGAAUGGAAGACAUAAAUAUUCUGAAUUUCUAGAUGCUUAGUCGCUUAGAUCAAAGGCACGUAUAAGUGUUGUAGAGGCACUUGGUAUGUAAUUUUUUGCUCGACUAAGAUUUGAUGAUAGGGAAUUUUGACAUGAAAACUGCUUUUGAAUGCCCACAAUUUACAUAUUACCUAUGAAUCAGAACAUCCAAAGUUUAAAGAAGACAAUGAUCUGAUAGUUCUGAGAAACCUAUUGACAGCGCUAUUCUUAUGAGAAUGAAGCAGUUUAGAGCUAUGAACAAACUGAAGAAGCUUGCUCUCAUGGUAACAUACCAAAUACCUAUAUAUUGUUAGAACAACUAUUGUAUAAUUGACAAAUGCCUGUGUAAAAUCCAAAUUUUGUUAAGCUCAUGCUAUAACCUAUCUUGGUCUAUUAGGGAAUCAUCCGAGAAUUCGUAACUCUUUUGUAUCUCUCUCAAUUUAUUGAUAUUAUUCUUAGUAGGUCAUUUAAUUUGUUGCAAUUUGAAUUAAUUUUGUUUUUGAAAAGUAUGGAUUUGUGUUUAGGGAUCUUACAAAAUGUGGGUCAAAUUUGAAUAUAGGAAUCGAUUGUAUUGAUUUUGAUGUGAGUAGAAUUUGAAUUUCAAUGUUGAAAUUUGCUAUUAUUUUGGUUGGUUGAGCAUUUGAGCUUGUGUUAUUCAAUGUCAUUUUGGAUUUGGGAAGGGAAUCUUGGGGUUUGUAGGAAAUGGCUGUAAGAUUCAUGGAUGGUUUCGUGAUUUAUAGAGAGAAUGUACAUGGUGCUGGAGUUAAUUUGGAUUAGUUUUUGUUUGGCAGAUGGAAUAGAAAAUCUAGAAAUUUAAGCCAAUAAUGAAAUCCAACGAACAAAUAAUGAAAUAAUAAUGGAAUUAAAUUUAAAGAAAGGAAGGUUAGCUCAUCUUGUUGAACCUGGUGCCCCUUGUUUACUUAGCUGCUGUUCUUGAGUUCCUUGUUCUCUCCUCCAUUGAAGUAGUAUUUGAGCCUGGUGGGGGAGUCCGUGAAUCAUGUCCUUUUCGAAUGCACAAAGGCUAAAGUGGUAUGUGCGAGUAGUAUCUUUCAAGCUCUGAUUGAUGAAGCUCCUGUAGGUUCUUUUAUGGAUGAUUUGUUGUGGUUUAACAGCAAAUUAGAGAAACAGGAAUUGCGUAUAUUGCUUGCUCUGGCCUGGUCUAGUUGGUAUUGCAGGAACAAAUUUUUUUCAUGAGCAACAGUCCCUAAAUGUUGUAUACACAGCAGCGAGUUUUGCUAAACUUAUGUCUAAUUAUUGCUCCUACGCUAAGCGAGUCUUUGUGAAGCAUGGUGCCCCUGCUGCCCCUAUGGUCAGCUCUUGGACGAAGCCUCCUGCUGGGGUUACCAAGUUCAAUAUUGAUGCCCAUAUUACUGGGUCGUUUGCUUCGGUUGGGGCUGUGGCUCGAAAUGAAAAUGGUGGUUUGGUGUGGGCUACUGUCAGAUGGCUGGAAGGAGAAUGGAUGUGGAAAGUGCUGAAUCUGCUCCUGUUAGAUUCGGUUUACAACAAGCUAGUAGAUGGGGUAGCAGGAACAACAGCUUGGGUUUCUCUCCUCUAUGGCUAAUUUAUGAUGAUAUUAGAGCUAUGUCUAAAUGGUUUGAUUUUUGUUACUUUUCACAUGUCAAGAGAGUAGGCAAUGUGGUGGCUCAUCUCGUUGCGAGGUGGGAGACCCGUAGUAGUGCGGAGUUAGUUUGUAUGAACUCCUUUCUCCAAAGCUUAAUUACUUGGCGGAGAGCGAUAUUUAAUAAAUAGCCUGCUAAUCUUGCUUCAAAAAAAA